AGGAGGACCCUCUGGCUCCCUGAGGUCACGUCUGGUGCACAGCAGAACCAGAUUUUGACCCACGUCUGUCAGGCUUCAGAGCCCUUGGCCCUGCCCUGCAUUUGCCAGGGGUACAGGUAUCUUCGAGGUCAACAAAGAAGUCCCAGUUAUCCUCUUUCCACCCUUUCCGGAUCCUGACCUGGAUGGACAGCAGCCCUGAGAAGAGAGCGGGGUGUGAGCCUGGAACAGAAGGAACGUCUUACGAUGGGAAGAUGAUUCACUUGUGCUAUUUUUAUUCUGCCGACAGCGGCGUCACCACCUCUCUGGGCCUCAGUGUCCUGGCCUGUGAAAUGAGUGGGAAGAGACAACGCCUGCAAUCUCAGCUCGAGACACUCUCUGAGAGCCUUUCUAGUUGCAGGCCCCUGAGUCUCAUUAUGCCAAGAAACUGAUUUCGGAGAAGAAAUAGCCGCCUCAGCCCCCUGCCGGGAACCCACAAAUUCAGCGUCGCAGAGUAGGGCAGUGAAGUAACUCAAUAUUUGGAUCCAGCUCAGGAGUCUUCCCUGUCGUUGGAGUGGAACCUCCCUGAAGGGAGGUCCCCGCCCCUGGGCCCGGAGGGAUGGGCCCCCCGCCCCAGUCCUGGGCAGCAGGUUCUGACCUGAUCGUUCCUGAGCGGGACAGUGAGAGCAACAGGACCUGCUCACACGUGUUCUUAGGUAGCUCACUUAGGUAGGGCACAAUCCAAGGCCCAGUGGAAGUUCAGCCGCUCAGUGAGGAGCCUUCAGGAUGAGGAUUCCCAGUCUUCGUUUUCUGCCCCAAGAGUCCCGGACUUCCCCGAGAGUGCGCCUCUUGCAAGAAGGAAUGAAGCCUGAUACUUCUCAACCUGAACAGGAUCCCUCUCAGCUGUCUGGUGGGGAAGAGUGGAGUCAAGAGGAGAGGAGAGGAAAGGGGGCUGCCAGCCAUGAGGCCCACAUGUUUCAGCCGAAGCCACUUGAAGCCACGUGGACAGAGGGACCCACAGCAUCCUCUCUAGCAGCCCCCGGGUACAUAGUUGUAUAUUCUUCGUUGUGGGUCCUCCUAGAUGUGGAAUGUGGGAUGCCGCCUCAGCGUGGUUUGAUGAGCGGUGCCAUGUCCGUGCCCUGGAUGCGAACCAACGAAACACUGGGCCGCCUGCAGCGGAGCGUGCGAACUUAACCACUCGGCCACAGGGCCAGCCCACCGUUAUCUUCUUUUGAGUUUUUACAGGGAAGGAAACUGAGGCUCAGUGGGGCUGGGAUCACACAGACCAUAAGUGAAGAGUUGCGUGUCUGGACAGCUGUUGUGGCGCCCUGGCCAUCCCAAAAGCUCCAGCAUUCCAUUUCAAGGAUCUCUUGCUGGCUUCCCUCCUACCAUCAUUCCUCUGAGAGAACGUGGCCUUGAGAACAAGGAGUGGAGAGCUGCCAGCUACUGCCACCUGACACAGAGCCUCAUUGCCCUUGCCUGUCUCCUUCCCCUGUCCAUCUUCAGUGUAGGGUCAAGAAGUGGGCCACUCCUUCCUUUUAUCCGAGGUGGACUUCUUGUUUUCUCCCCCCAGAGGUUGCCACGUGUCUAAUUGCCCAUCAAGCUAGAGUGGUGGAGGGAAAUUGGUAUCAAAGAGUUUUUGCUGAAUGCUUGAAUGGACGACGGCUUAGAGAACUGACUGAAGUUUGAGCGGGAAACAGGAAGACAAGGCCAACGUCAUUUAGCCCACCAAAUACCCUCAUGCCCUUUGGGAAGAAGAAAGAUGAAUAUGGAAGAAGCAGAAAAGGAUGAGUUUAAAUUGAGGCAUAAAGAACAUAGAACUAAAUAAGUAAGACCUCAAAAGUCCCUUAGUCAUCAUCUAAUCCAGACCUUUAUUUUUUUAGCAGAGGGCAUCAAACCCCCAAGGGGAUCGUGACCUUAGUGACCUCCUUAAGAUCACAGGGCCAGAGUGAGGCCUUGGGUCUCUUGACUAUUUUGAUCUCAACGAGAUGUUGGUCUCCUCUUCUCCACAUUCACCUCAAACUCAUUUAUUCCAGAAAACUACCUUACCUAACCCAGGGGUCCAGUUAGCACCAAAGUGAUCUAAACUAACCUUGAGUUUACUGUCCUUGGGUCCAUUUUGGCAAUUGCCUCGUGGCCUCAAGACUACCCCCACUUAGAAAGAAUGGGUGAGGGUAGCCAAAGCCAAAUGUACAGGGCCAGUUUUACCCCAGGCUGGCCCAGGAGAGGUUUGGCUUGGGUUAUUACCAAGGUGCGAGGUCUCACCUCCUAGGAGUUUGUUCCAGGGGUCUGCAGUCAUCGGAAUACGCAGUCUUGAGCAGAGGUGUCUAGACCUUGUCGAAUGAUCAGAGACCGGGACGUGAACACACAUUUUACCCCUUUAUAAUGACUUGGGUGUGCCAAACAGGACCCAUCACCCCCAAGUCCUAGCCUAGGAUUUUCUAACCAAGUAUAUAGUUAGAGGAAAAUGUAAUCCACGUGUAUCUGACUCACUCAUCCCUAAAUUAUCCUAAAGUUCCAUUCUGGGAAUGGUUUGAUAUGUACUCUGCUUUUUUUCAUCUUUUGGAAUCUUGAAUUGGCCAAGACAAAAUAAAAAGCCAUCCUGAGAGAUGGAAGGACUCUUCAAGUAGAGGCAUGACCUGUAGGCUCCUCCCCAAGGCCUCCUGGGACAGGAAGCCCAGCAGGGCAGGGAGCAUGCCAGAACCCAGAAACAUACCUUUAUUAGUCAUCUCCCAGCUCCCCUUCUGCUUGUACUUCUGCGAUGCUGUGCCCUACUGAGGAAAAUCACCCAGUGCGGAAGAUGGUGUCACUACAGAUUUAUGGCAUCUGGACUCUGUUGCACCCCCAAGAGUACGGAGAGAUCCCAUCAGUUCUGGAAGCUGAAAGCCCAAGAUCCGGGUGCUGGCCAAUUUGGUUCCUGGUGAAGUCUUUCUUCCUGGCUUGUGGAUGGCCACUUUCUCACUGUGUCCUCUCGUGGCCUUUCCUUGGUGCAUGCGCGUGGACAGACAGCAAGCAGCCCUGGUGUCUCCUCUGAUGAGGGCACUAACCCAUCAUGAGGGCCCCACGCUCACGAUCUCAUCUAACCCUAGUUAACCUCCCACCUCCAAAUACCAGCACACUGGGGGUUAGGGCUUCAACGUGUGCAUUUGGGGGACACAAACAGUGCAGAAUAGCUCCCAAGGCUGUGUUUGGUGUCUCCUGGAUCUCCCAGCUGAGCCUGUGCUCACCUAGAACAUAACGUUCUCACGCUCUGUUGUAACUGGCUGUUUCUUGGCUGUAUCUCCUAUAAGACUUAAAUCUUCUUGAGUGCAGGGCUGUGGUUUAUUCAUACGUGCUCAAUAAAAUUCACUGGGAAAAACGGAUAAAAAGGUUGUCUGAGCACCUUGUGUUCCCUGGCUUCGGCCAGAAGUCAGUCAUCUCAGGGUGGCAACAGCAGUUGUCUCCUACCAUCAGAAGCCCGGGUGACAGCCACGUAGGCUGAUUAGUAAAACAUGAGGCAACAGUGUUGAUUAGAAAUUUAAUGAAUUCAAUUUGUUUAGCAGACAAAAAUCCUUCAAAACAAUUCAUGGAGUGAGAACGAGAACAGGAAAGAGUCCUCGAUGCGGUGCUGACAAUCUCUGAAAAUACCCCCUCAGUCGCAAUGGGUGGGCCCUUCCAAGGAUGUCCACAUUUCCUGCAUAACUCAGGGCAGGCCAAUGCUCCAUCCUCCCAGCCAACCAGGCCCCCAGUCACAAACGGGGCUUUGUGGAGCAGCCCCGACCAGCCUGUCUGCCUCUCUCUGUCUCCACUGUCCCU
rnacentral:lncRNA from 1 species